CUCAAGCGGUUUUAUGCACGACGUGAGUCACUUACCACGGUACAAGGCUGCAUACUAUUUGGCGAUCGACUUGUUAUUCCUUCGCCCCAUCGCAAGCGCAGUCUUCAGCAGCUUCAUCGUGGCCACCCUGGAAUCCAGCGAAUGAAGGCGAUUGCCAGGUCUUAUGUUUAUUGGCCAACUCUCGAUAACGACAUUGUUGAUUAUGUUAAAUCCUGCCAUCAAUGUGCGAUGGCUGCAAAAACACCACCGAAGUCAGCGCCUUUGUCUUGGCCUAAAUCAACAAAACCGUGGCAGCGUGUACAUCUUGACUAUGCUGGACCGAUCGACGGGGAAUACUACUUGGUCGUCGUGGAUUCUUUUUCGAAGUGGCCUGAGAUUGUGCAGACUCGCAGCAUCACUACAGCCGCUACAAUCAAAAUCAUCAGAGAACUGUUCGCACGCUUGGGAAUGCCAGAGACACUAGUGAGCGACAACGGCUCACAGUUCACCAGUGCAGAAUUUCAAUCCUACUGUACGGAUAACGGUAUCGAGCAUCUCACAACUGCGCCGUUUCACCCACAAUCGAACGGUCAAGCUGAGCGGUUUGUGGAUACAUUCAAACGGUCAAUAAAGAAGAUUAAGGAGGGGAGAGCGACAAUGCGUGAAGCACUCAGUACAUUUUUGCUGACUUACCGGAGCACACCUUGUUUUUCUUCUCCGGAUGGAAAAUCGCCAGCAGAAGUCAUGUUCGGUCGUCCGAUCCGUACCAGUUUGGAUCUACUCCGUCCUCCACCAGAUUCUGUGCAGUUUGAACAGCCUAGCGAGAGCCGACCCUUGAAGCGUGAGUUCAAAGCUAAAGAUCCGGUAUACGCAAAAGUCUUCGUUAAAAAUCAAUGGCACUGGGCUCCAGGAACAGUACUGGAACGUAUAGGUCGUGUAAUGUACAACGUUCAGCUCGACAAUAGAAGGCUUGUUCGCUCCCAUGUUAACCAGCUUCGAGAUCGCGCUAUAUCGGAGGAUCUCAACGUAUCGACAUCGACAGAUAGUACGAAACUUCCACUCAACAUUCUACUUGAUGCUUGGAAUCUUCCGGUUCGUCGUACAACGGAUCCAUUAGCACACUCAACACCAGUAGCACCUCUUACAAGCUGCUCUAGUUUGAGACCAUCGUCAACACCAAAUACUCUGGUGAGAAGGCCUACCUUAUCAUCGGAGUCAUCGUCACAGUUAUCAGUAUCGUCUUCUUCAUCUUCAACAUCGCCAAGUUCGACAUCAGAAUUUCAGUCUGCAAAUGAAGCCGAUUCAGCUGUUCAGGUACCUCGCCGCUCUUCGCGUGUCCGAAGAGCUCCGCAAUGGUUCGAGCCCUAUCAGCUGUAUUAGGAGGGGAGAUGUUGGAGACGUGAACAUCCCUACAACUCAACAGGAAUUGCUGGGCUCACUGGUGGCAGCCCGCCUGUCACUCAGUUGACGCACCGAACAGCAUCCGGUCAGGAAUCAGAAUGUGAUAUACCAUACCAAAUACAAAUUAAAUACGCCAAGGUCCCAUAUGAAAGGGUAAUCAUUUUUUGGCUCUCCGAAAACUAGAUUUAAUGAACCCUAUUCAUGGAUUUUGCUUGACAACCAACAAACACUGAAAAGUAAUAAGAAAUGGCAACACAUUUUGAUAAAUCCGAUCAGAGCAUGCCGUUCUUAAAUUUAAUAAUAAUUUUUUUGUUGACAUUUGUUUGUGUCUGUGCAGAUUUGUGGUUCGAUAUCGUUUAGUGGCCAGAAGUGAUUACGAUCCGACGUUGGCAGCCGAAACUGAGAUAGCAAAAGAAGCACAACCUACUCAAAAAAAACAAGGAUGAACCGGAAAUCAGUCGCCUGUUCGGCACUCAACAAAAAACCACCCAACGUUGCUUCAACUGCAACACCGAAAGUGUUAAAAAUAAUAUCCUGGUGUGCAAUCUCCUGUAUCCUACCAACACCAACAACCGACAUAUCGACGGAACAUUUGCGUAAAUUUUUAAAAAUUAUAUGUCGUUGAAAAAACUACACCGUCCUGGUGUAAGAAGCGCAACAAGUUCACUCCACUAAUCGAAAGAGUCGUGUGGCUGAUCUGCCGAAAAUUCUAUCGGUUAGCUGCGGUCUGGAGACGGACAAAGAAUUUGAGUAUCUAGAAACAAAGAAACAAAUGCCGCGGUCCUCUGCCCAAGUGUCUAGCGAUGGGGACUCGCGAAAUGGUGCAAACGUAGAUAAUGGGAAAAUGUGAAAAUGUGUCGUUACGGGAUGCACUGCUCUCGGGUAGAUUGCCAUUUUUUCCAUCCGAGAAAACUCCCACCGUCGAAUGCGUCUAAUCAAGGUCAGCAGAAAUCAUGCUUUCCGCUAGGCUUCUGAAUGACAUUGGAUGAGAAGAAUUUUAAAAUUGAAAACUGCUUCCAGCUGUUAUGAAGGUUCUGAUGCUCACGAAAGCUGCAAACUAAACGAGUCAGAGCAUAUUCCGUAGUAGCAACAAUUUGAAAUCUUCUACAUUUCAGAUAUGCCGUUUCGAAAAUCGAAAAGUAUCGCUUGUCGGCGACCGUUUGCUACAUCAAUGACAGAACUCAGCGUAAUCAGGUAGCUUUGGUGCACAUACCAAAGAGCUAUCAUGAUCUCAAAACGGAUCGAAGUGGAGGGGACUGGUACAUAUGCAAUGAUUUUAGUAUUUUCCCGGUGUCCGCGCAGGAAGCGGUUUGGUUUACACUGGAUUGGAAGGUUCCAUGCGUUCUGUUUUAUACCAGUACCGCACUCAGGAACGAACAAGGAAAGAAUAAGUAAUGUUUGACUCAGUAGGUAAAUCAAUUCACAAUUGAUCUGUUACCAUACUCCAGGGAAAACCAAGGUGACAAACCGUUGGGUGAAAAAUAGAUCUUUGAAUCGGGUGACUUGGUGCCAAUGUAUGCUGAAUUUGUUACUUUGAAUCCGGAGGAGAGAGAAAUCCGGUCCGAUGGUAAAAUGUCCACCGUAAAAACCUCGUCACAUGAGUGUUGCUAAGAUCACGUGUAUCCGCGGGCAAGGUAAAGAUGAACGAGUUCCUUCGUCGAUGAUUACAUCUCCACUCAGGAGCAGAUUGUCGAUUAUCUGACAAAAUUCUUCGGAAUUAAACCAGGCGAUCUGGAUGCAAUCUUUAGCAACAAGAGACUGACGACGUUGAAAAAGUGUUAAUUUAUUAUUUAUGUGUUUUAGGGCCGAUUUCUUCACCCUCGCUUAAAUUUUAAGUCAGGUUCACCAGUACGUUUAAACCUGGCUUAAGCGCUACGCGAGGGUGAAUAAAUCGGCCCUUAAUCAAUGGUUUGAAUAAAUCUAGAGAAAUCGGAAAACAAUAUGCUUUUAUUGCUUGCAAGCAAAAAUGUAAUUGAAAACGUGGAAAUACAAACGUUUACUCGAUUGUGACUACAAUAUCAUUGAAAAGUCAAGUGCAAUAACAAGAGAUUAUAACUACUAGUGGGAGCAAAGCGCUACUGUCUCCAUGUAUUCAAGGUCUGAAACAUGGGGUUUCGAUAUUGCCGGGGCAAUAUGUGUCAAACUAAUGGGCCUAGUAUAGGUAAGAGCAAGAUAAUAAACCAUCGGUGUCAACUCUCAGGCGCUCGCGCCGUUGUAUUUAGUUCAAAACCUGAAUUUCUAGCGAAAUCUUUCGGCAACAGCAGCUGCUCAUUAGGGGAGCCAUUCGCGCGAAUGCUGGAGGGUUAACAGCGGCAUGCGACCUGAAGCCAUUUUGAUCUGAAAGCGAACUACGCCACUGUGCUGUCAAAUGAUCAUCAAGUAAAAAUUUCACCCAACACACAUCAUCAACAGUGAGAACAGCAUACACAAUCGUAGUGGCCAUCACGAGCAAAACCGGAUCCGGAGGAGUCAUCUGGUAGGUGAAAAGAAAGCACCAGACAAUACGGUGUAUAGCUAAGAACGGUUCCGAUCGUAGGUGAAUUAUUGUUUUACGCCGGUUAGUGACUCUAGAUUUUGAUAAGCAGGAAACCGGCAUUGGACCAGCACUACACACGCAAAUCCCAGCUGAAGAUCUUUUGGAACUCGUGAAUCCUCGGUGUACCGACUACAGGAAAAGGAGCCUUUAUUAUCAACAA